rnacentral:rRNA from 1 species
GAUGAACGCUGACAGAAUGCUUAACACAUGCAAGUCUUGGCGAAGCUGUGCUUGCACAGCCUAGCCAAGGCGGACGGGGGAGUAACGCGUAAGGAACUUGCCCUGCAGUCAGGGAUAACCGACGGAAAAGACUGAAAAGAACUGGUAAAGUCAGGCGGACCCAUGGCCAGCCUGAUGAAAAGAGAUGCUGCAGGAGAGCCUUGCGUCCUAUUAGCUUGUUGGUGGGGUAACGGCCCACCAAGGCGAUGAUAGGUAGCCGGCCUGAGAGGGUGGACGGCCACAAGGGGACUGAGAUACGGCCCUUACUCCUACGGGAGGCAGCAGUGGGGAAUAUUGGACAAUGGGGGCAACCCUGAUCCAGCAAUUCUGUGUGCACGAUGAAGGUUUUCGGAUUGUAAAGUGCUUUCAGCAGGGAAGAAAAAAAUGACGGUACCUGCAGAAGAAGCGACGGCUAAAUACGUG